rnacentral:lncRNA from 1 species
CCCGUCGUCAUCGUGGCAAGCUGCCGCCUCUACUAGGAUAGCGCAGAAGCCGACGCGAGGAGGUGCCCCAUCUCCCCGUUGCUCUGCCUUCGUGUCAAGGCGAUGGAGAUGUGCGAGAGCCGAGAGGGAUGGGAGGAGGAGUGGCCACGGUGAAGUGGCCGAAGGAGGUGCUGGCAUGGCGGCGGCGUGGGGAGCGAUUGGAGGCGGGCCUCGCCGCUGCCUCCUGAGGUGAGCCUCGCCGUCACUUUCUCUUGGUGCGAUUCAGGGUGGACACGGUCCAGGCCGGUCCGGUCCCGGUCCGAGCCGCCGUUUGGACCGGACGCCGGCGGUCCGGGCCGGACCGGACCGAGCUGUGCAGCGGUCCUGAUUACAGGGACCGGACCGGCUGGCAUGAAGCUCGGUGCGGACCGGCGGUCCUGGCGGUCCUGGCGCCGUCCAGUCACUGCCAUGUGGGCCCAGGACAUCGGAGUGGUGGUCGGAGUAGCAACACGGUGGCCGGAGCCGGAGAAGAAGCACCUGAUGCACGGUGGCGCGAGAGAAAGGCACGGGAGAGAGAGGGAGCAGCAUGGCGCGAGGCAGAGGCGUGGUGGCGCGAGGGGACGACGGCGAGAGGUAGAGGCGCGGCGGCGCGAGGUUGUGCCGGGAGAGGAAGUCGAGGAAGACGGCGGCGCAGGGGAGGAAGAGGGGCUGCGCAGGGGAGGAAGAGGGACGGCGCGUGCGAGGAAGAGGAGGCAGUGGCAGUUCGCUAGGUCACGCACGCCCCUCUUAUUAGCUUUAUUGGGCUGGGCUCUUCUGAUUAGCUUUAUUGGGCUGGGCCUUCGGUCCUCCGAGCCGUACCGAGCUUUAACCGGACCGGACCGACCGAAUUUCGGUCUCGUUUUCACGGACCGGACCGGCCAUAUUAUCUAGCGAGCCAGGCCCGUACGGUCCGGUCCAUAACGGGCCGCGGUCCAGGCCAGAAGCCCGCUCGUCCCGUCCACCCUGAGGUGCGAUGCUGCGUGUACAAUAGCCGGCGAGGUCUGUAUCUUGCGUCAAGAGUAGCGGCGUGGGGAUCUUCAGGAGGUCCAUCGACAGCAAUACACAGCUGCAGGAAUGACAACAGGUGGACUAGCUCAACGUGAGGGUGACCAUGGGCAAGGCCGCAAGGGGUGCUGUGGCUGCUCGAGGUCUGGUGGUCAUGACAGGGGGCGAUGUGGCUGUCAAGGUCUGGUUCGUUUUUGACGCCGCAGAAGUCGUCCAUGUCACUCCGAUCGGCUAACCGGCUGAUCCCACGGCCACGGGUGAGGCGAAAUCUCCCUAUUAUACCUGCAAAUCUUUUGCGUCCUCUAUUCACUGAUUAGUAUGGGCGAGCUGAUUGUGAUGGUCAUACUUGGGUGCAGAGUGCAGGCUCCUACUCCAGGCUUCGAUCUAGAAACAAUUUCCCUGGGUGAAUGUAGGGAUGUACUAUGUAGUGUGAUUAAUUCGUUCAAGCUUUGUGUUCUUGAUUUUUCAUAAAAUUACGAAGUCUGCCUGUGUGAUUUGAGUGAAAUUUGUUGGUUGGGACAGGUUUACUUAGUCCUGCAACUUAGUUCUGCAUUAUGGAAGGUUUACUUAGUCCUGCAAAUUCGUCAAGUCUGAAUAUACAAGGUGGCUUACAUGUGAGUUCUUGCCCUGUUCAUGAUGGAACUAUGUAUCUCCAUUAACUGCGUGGGCUGCACUUAUCUGAAGUUUGUAUCUACCUCUUUGCUCACGAUUUGUUCGAUCAAAUUUUGUAUAAAUACCUAGAUUGUAUGAAUGAAUUUAUGUGAUUUUCCCUGGAAUUUAUGAAUACAUUUUUUGCAGAAUUGGACUGAUAUAAAUUAUUUGAAUUUGGAUUACUGAUUCUUUCUCAAAUAUUUCAGUCCCUGCAGCAACAUCAGUGUUAUUUGACAGAAUUGCAUCAGCCCUGAAGGGUUUGGAAACAUCGAUCCCUGCCAUUAUAAACAGAACAUGUUGCGUUCUCGCUGCAUAGUAUUAGAAGGACUCAUGUAUGAAGUAUCUAUUUUAAAGAAAUUAAACCUAUCUUUGGAAUUUUGAUUCCCAGGUCUGAAUUCAGAUCUAUAUAUUUUUAUCUUCUUGUAAUGGUUUGCCUCCUGCAAUCAUUUGUUUGCCUUUAUCUGCAUCCGCAUGAAGAUUAAAAAUGGAAGAGAAAUCAAUGAACUAUAUUGUUCCGCCGUACAUAGGCCGGAAAGAUUUGAUGUAUGUAUAGCGUAUUUUUAAGGCAUGGCCAUCUCAGCAAUAAUCAGUACAUUAUAGGAUUGUCACCAAAGAUGUGAAAUCAAGGUCAUGUAGAUAGUCAUGCUUAGCAGAUUGUUUAUAUUCGGAAGGAAAGAAGACAGAAACAGUAACAGACCAUGUAUUUUUAUCAGCGAAUUCAGCUUAGUUAGCUUUGCUUGAUAUUGGUUUGCAAAAUCUAACUCUCUUAACUCCUCUUUUAAGUGAGGGUUUGCUCUGCUCUAUAAUUUUCUUCCAUUUUCCAAUACAAAUUGUGUUUAAAUGAUACGUGGCAUUGCGAAUUAUGACCAACUAGCUACGGUUUAGUAUGGUAUGGUUUUGUUCUGGCUCAUUUCAUUGACUGUGGUUGGUUGUUAUCAUUUUAUACCCACAUUUUCAAACCUUAGAGAAAGGGAUGGCAACAAAGCUUCAUAUUUCAGCUACUGAUAUCAUAGUGUGCAUGUUAUGGGCACAACUAAGUCUUCUUGCAUGUUGCAGUAAUGUACAGUUGGACGUUAAGCUAAUUUUCUUUUUUGCAGGUUAAGCUAAUAGCUUCAUAGAUGAAAUUUUGUCUAUCUUGUUGUAUAAAUUAUAGCAUCGUGUAGGCCGAUAGCUGAAAUUUAGUCUACCUUGCACUAUAAUUUUUGGCAUAGUGCAAUUCAUCUUGCUGCAUAAAUUAUCUUCACUAUAAAUUCUGGCAUAGUACAGUCCAUCUUGCUGUAUAAAUUUUGGUACAGUGCAGACAAGGCAUGAGAAAAUGGCUUGCCGAGCCAACACCGGCAACACUGCACCAUGAGGAUGGUCGGUGGGCACCAUCAAACAAAUCUCAAUAGUGUUAUCUUGCAUUCGUACGAGCAUCGGUCCGGCCUUUUUAAAUACGAACAACAAAUCGCUGCAUUUUACGAGCCUUUUUCUGGUUUAUUCUUAUUGCUUGAGAAUUUUAAGGAGCAUUGUGGGUUUCUCUGCCCAUAAGGAGGAAACUACAUUUUGUAUGUGAUGCAUGUUUGGCUGAAAUCCCCCCUUCUACCUUUUGCAGAGCUCUCACAAAUCAAGUAAGUUACGAAGUGGCCUGAAUGUCUAGAUUCUAGCUUGCUUUGAAUUUAUGAAUUAUCGCUGCUAUAUUGUUAUCUCGGGAUAGUGAAACAGUCGAGUUGUACUACUUGCAGGGGAUUUCUGCAUACAGUUCAUCCAUUCAGUAAAGGCAUAUGCAGAAAUAUCUAUCACUUUGACUUCACCACGAAAUUAAUUUGUUCUGGAAGCCGUAGGUACCCUUACUCGAGGAGCUGGAAGCCAGAGAAGCUCUGUACCAAUUUUAGUGCUGGUGUUAUUGAUCUGUGUGUUGCUGUGCCAUUCUUCAGCCCUAGCAUGUGUUGUCAUCCAUUGUUCAAACUUUUUCUUCCACUGGAAGCAUGUCUUUCAUGAACUGCACCAAUAAAUGUACAUUGAAUUUAUCAAUGUCUAUAUGUAGUUUAUCCUUUCUCCUUGACGCGCUUAGAAUUUACGUAAAUAUUUACGCGCUCAGAAUUUUUAAAACUGAAACACCGAUUAUGCGGGGGGAGGGGGACAAUGGCCCCCUUAGCCCUUGCCUUAGUCAACUUCCCCAUGCUCCAUUGUUUUGCCAACAAUGAUACUAUCUCUAAUGUUUGCUUUAUUGCAGGCUAAACGUCCUUCUGCUAUCGAUUCCUUUCACAAAAUCACAACCAACUGGCAGGGCAAGACGAUAGCUUCUUGGACUACGACGGAACACUGUCGCCAAUAGUAGAUAAUCCUGACGAGGCAUACAUGUCCAACGAGGUAAGUAUAACGAAAAGAAAAAUUCUUGCAUGUUCCUUGAUAUUUGUAGAUCUUUCUUAUCCCUGGAACAUAUAAUCAGAUGCAUGAACUUGUUCAAGAAAUUGCCUCCUUGUGCCCCACUUCAGUCGUCAGUGGAAGGGCCUGCGAUAAGGUAUUACGUAUCUAGUAGCCUUUUAAUUUGGAUGUUCUAUACAUUUGUAAUUAGUGACUCACUUGUUUUGCUAUUCAUCUGUUGACAGAAAAUUUCAAAAUGAUCGAAAACCUGCACUAUGCAGGGAGCCACGGAGCAGAAAUCAAACUCCUAAGCCAUUAUUAAAUUUAGAAAUGUCUAUAUGUAGUUUAUCCUUUCUCUUUGACAUGCUCAGAAUUUAUGUGAAUAUUUAACCUGCAGAGUGAUGAAACAGAAACCCACGAGCCUACCAACGAGUACGUACCUGUUAUAAAUCAGAUAUAGAAUAUAACGAAUUAUAAUAAUCCACAUAUCUAUCUUUUUAACAACUAUUUUGCUGCUUCCUACUAUUCUGUCCAUAAGUAAAACUCAGUUCUGCCUAGCCCUUGCCUUAGUCAAUUCUUCCCCAUGCUCAAUUCUUUUGCAAAAAAACUACCUGCAAACCACAUGUUGCGGUUUGCAAAGAAGCCCUUCUUAAUUGUCUAUCCUCAAAUAAUUAAAAAAAUUAGGCGAGGUUUUGUGCGGUUUGCAAAGAAGCCCUUAAGGUGAGAUGAACUUAUGUUUCAAAUAAUUACAAAAAAAUGUAGUUACACAGGUUCUCGAAGACAUAUGCUGGAAGGAAAUGUUGUGUGAGAAGCGACGUAUUCCAAGAGCCAUCGACAUUCAGGAGAUCUGCCAUCCAUUUUAGUCUGCAUCGACGUUUUUGUGUGAUCGGCCUAAAGGAGGGUUCCCUUGGGAUCCAAGGAUCAUUGCCAUAUGUGUAUGUUUUCUUCAGUGCCAACAUGCCAGACGCACCCCUGCUUAGCUAGCUCUAACCCAUAUUCAAUGGUUGCACAUGUCGACGAACCAUUCCCUGUGAAGAUUGUGUCAAUAAUGGAUCCAGACAGAUAGUACUUGGCUCAUAGGACCCGUGGACAUAGGCUCUCCAAAACUAUGUGCAAGCAAGGCCUUGAUUGAACAACCUCAAAUUUUUGCACAAGCUCCUACAAAUUUUGCAUCCAGCUCAUGUAUGUACUCGCUCAAGUCCUUUUUACUCAACGUAUAAGAUUUGUCUUAAGUUAAACUCCGUAAAGUUUGACCAUGUUUGUGUAAAAAAAUACCAACAUCUAUAAUACUAAAAUUCUAAAGUUAUACAUUAUGAAAAUUAAAUUCAUGGCGCAUCUAACUAUAUUGGUUUCAUAUUAGAAUGUUGUUAUCUUUUCAAUAAAGUUGGUCAAACUUUACUAAAUUUGAUUUUAGAUGAAACUUAUAUGCGGAGUAAAAUGGACCGGAGGGAGUAUAUAUACUCCAAUAAAUUUCCAUCGGCUCAUAAUAUUUGAAACUAUCAGCUGAGCAUGACGGGAGCAUGUAUCACAUAUAUUUGAGACCAAUGAUGCUGUGAUUACCUCAUGCCCAAAUAUUUUUUGCCUAGAAUUCAUGUACUUUUAACAGGAAAAGUUCGCCGAAGUUGGUCAAUCUCUCUUAAUCAAUCCUUUAAAAAAUUGGUAUAUAACCCUGCACUUCGAUCAUAACAACCUCUUGCAUCCGUACUUCGCAUAGCAUGAUCCACUUGAAGCAAGAAGAAAAAUCCUAAACGCAUAUAAAAAAAAGAAAAAAACCUACUCCUUCCGUCUCAUAAUGUAAGACGUUUUUUGACACUAGUGUAGUGUCAAAAUAUAUCUUACAUUAUAGGACACAGGGAGUAAUUCUAAAUAUACUACACCUAGCUAGGUUUGAUUUAUCUGGAUUUGACUUUUUUCUAUCAGUGGAAAACAGACCAAUGGGAAGGCGACACGUUAUUUACUGGGGAUCUGUUGGGAUAUGUUUUGGAGUGCCUUUAGCGAUUUGGUAGAGCUGCAGUUGCUGGAUUGGUUUCGCCCAUCUCUCUUAAUCCUUUACACGUGCGGACGAUGCGUCUUCAUCUUUGGAAGACUUUCGUGAAAUCCCGUUGGUUCCUAUUUCAUACCUCUCAAUUCUUGCCGCGUGUCCAUCCCGAAGACUCUCGUGGGAUCAUGACCACCACCGCUUGCCGUUGUUCCACCGCCGUAUGGGCUAAUAAAAAGGCUACCCUCCCUCGCCAUCCGCCUCGCCCACUCUCGAGCUGUGGUCUUCCAAAGUCGGGCGGCGCACCAGCCGCUCUCCUUGAUCUCGCCGGUUGCGGUGCCUCGCCGAUGUGCAGGGCCAAGGACGUGCCGAUGCAUCGAGAUGCCCCUCGCCCAGCCUACUGGCGCUCCGUCGACGCACCUGGCUCCUCCUCGACGCCUCAAGCCGUCCCGCGCCGCAUGUGUCUAGGUCUCGUGCCCGUCCAGGCCACCAGCAUGCUGCCGUCCCACGCUCUACCGGAGCCCUCUGCCCGUCGUCAUCGUGGCAAGCUGCCGCCUCUACUAGGAUAGCGCAGAAGCCGACGCGAGGAGGCGCCCCAUCUCCCCGUUGCUCUGCCUUCGUGUCAAGGCGAUGGAGAUGUGCGAGAGCUGAGAGGGAUGGGAGGAGGAGCGGCCACGGUGAAGUGGCCGAAGGAGGUGCUGGCAUGGCGGCGGCGUGGGGAGCGAUUGGAGGCGCGCGGGCCUCACCGCUGCCUCCUGAGGUGAGCCUCGCCGUCACUUUCUCUUGGUGCGAUGCUGCAUGUACAAUAGCCGGCGAGGUCUGUAUCUUGCGUCAAGAGUAGCGCUUGGGGAUCUUCAGGAGGUCCAUCGACAGCAAUACACAGCUGCAGGAAUGACAACAGGUGGACUAGCUCAACGUGAGGGUGACCAUGGGCAAGGGGUGCUGUGGCUGCUCGAGGUCUGGUGGUCAUGACAGGGGGCGAUGUGACUGUCAAGGUCUGGUUCGUUUUUGACGCCGCAGAGGUCGUCCGUGUCACUCCGAUCGGCUAACCGGCUGAUCCCACGGCCACGGGUGAGGCGAAAUCUCCCUAUUAUACCUGCAAAUCUUUUGCGUCCUCUAUUCACUGAUUAGUAUGCGGCGAGCUGAUUGUGAUGGUCAUACUUGGGUGCAGAGUGCAGGCUCCUACUUCAGGCUUCGAUCUAGAAACAAUUUCCCUGGGUGAAUGUAGGGAUGUACUAUGUAGUGUGAUUAAUUCGUUCAAGCUUUGUGUUCUUGAUUUUUCAUAAAAUUACGAAGUCUGCCUGUGUGAUUUGAGUGAAAUUUGUUGGUUGGGACAGGUUUACUUAGGCCUGCAACUUAGUUCUGCAUUAUGGAAGGUUUACUUAGUCCUGCAAAUUCGUCAAGUCUGAAUAUACAAG